rnacentral:rRNA from 1 species
UUAAUAAUAUUCUUAUUUAAAAUAUAAUUAUUUUAACAUUUGGUCCUUUCGUACUAAAAUGUUAUAAUUUUUUAAAGAUAGAAACCAACCUGGCUUACGCCGGUUUGAACUCAGAUCAUGUAAGAAUUUAAAAGUCGAACAGACUUAAAAUUUGAACGGCUACACCCAAAAUUAUAUCUUAAUCCAACAUCGAGGUCGCAAUCUUUUUUAUCGAUAUGAACUCUCCAAAAAAAUUACGCUGUUAUCCCUAAAGUAACUUAAAUUUUUAAUCGUUAUUAACGGAUCAAUUAUUCAUAAAUCAAUGAUUUUAAAAAUUAAAAGUUUUUUAAAUUUUAAUAUCACCCCAAUAAAAUAUUUUAAUUUAUUAUAACAGAAAUAAUCUUUAUAAUUAAAAUAAAUAAAAUAUAAAGAUUUAUAGGGUCUUCUCGUCUUUUAAAUUUAUUUUAGCUUUUUGACUAAAAAAUAAAAUUCUACAAUAAAUUUAAAUGAAAC